rnacentral:rRNA from 1 species
UACGAAGGGGGCUAGCGUUGUUCGGAAUUACUGGGCGUAAAGCGCACGUAGGCGGAUCGAUCAGUCAGGGGUGAAAUCCCAGGGCUCAACCCUGGAACUGCCUUUGAUACUGUCGAUCUGGAGUAUGGAAGAGGUGAGUGGAAUUCCGAGUGUAGAGGUGAAAUUCGUAGAUAUUCGGAGGAACACCAAUAGCGAAGGCAGCUCGCUGGGACGGUAUUGACGCUAAGGCGCGAAAGCGUGGGGAGCAAACAGG